UACGAAGGGGGCUAGCGUUGUUCGGAUUUACUGGGCGUAAAGCGCACGUAGGCGGUUUGUUAAGUCAGAGGUGAAAUCCCGGAGCUCAACUCCGGAACUGCCUUUGAUACUGGCAAGCUAGAGUCCGGAAGAGGUAAGUGGAACUCCUAGUGUAGAGGUGGAAUUCGUAGAUAUUAGGAAGAACACCAGUGGCGAAGGCGGCUUACUGGUCCGGAACUGACGCUGAGGUGCGAAAGCGUGGGGGAGCAAAACAGG
rnacentral:rRNA from 1 species